CCAAUAAUAAUUUAUGGACGAAUAUGUUUUAAGUCUGUGUAAGGGAUUGUGUCAAAAGCCAAGCCGUAUUUUCAAAUUUCGCCUACCGUUGAAACUAUAAAUUUGUAAAGCGGCACGAAGCAGUCAUAAGUUUUCAAUAACUGCUGAAGUGAGCGCGGGAUGUCUUCAGCAUUCUUAUAAAUAUCCGAGAGGCAGUCUAUCAAUGUAAAUCUUUGAAGAUUAUAUUGGGGACAGUCAAAGAAAAUGUGAUCAAGAGUUUGGAUGGAUAAAUUACAGAAUUGACAAGUUGGAGAAUCUAAAACACCGAUCCUAAAUAAAUGAGCACCACUACGAGAAUGUCCCAGACGUAACCGACAAAUUGUGGUGUAAAAUUUUCUGUGUAAGUAUUUUUUCUUUUUAACAAACCAGGGAGGAGAGAUUUCGUUUUUAAUUUCGGCAAACCAUUUGCCCUUUGUUUGAACAACUUGUUGCCAAUAAUUCUGAAAGUCUUGCAAGAAUGUACCUUUAAAAUGAGACAGUGCAUCUGUGUGUGGUAUGGGAAUGUUCAAAGCAGGACAUUUAAGGAUAGAAGAAUUGAUGAUAAUUGUUCUAAAUCAACAUUAUUAAAUGAUCUGGGCACUAUGGAUGUCAAGACAUAAAUGCCGUAGACUCUCACAAGCAGAACGACCACAUUGAAAUCCAAAUUGAUUAUUAGAUUACUGUGUGGAGGAAUGUUGGAUGGAAUUGAAGAAGAUUCAGUUUCUGACACUACCAUGGAAAAUUUUGUGAUUGUAGGCAAGCAUAGCUGCCCAAAGAGUCCUGAUGAACUUGCCAUUCACAGCACAGGAAUAAUGAAGAUGAUACUAUUGUUAGAUCUAGUCCAUUUGGUCUCCAAGAAUUAGUACCCACUGUAGUUGGUUGAUCAUUAUUUAAGAGCAUUAAGUCAUUAUCAUCCAUUACAUCCAUGAUGUCUCUACCUCUAGAAUAGGUUCUAUUACAACCCCAAAUGGUAUGGUGAGCAUUAAAAUCACCAGCAAUUAUUAGUGGUUUUGGAAUACUAUGCAACAGUCUAUUAAAUUUAGAUUUGUCAAAGUUAGGUACACUGUUGCCAGAACUAUAAAAGCUAACAAUUGAGAUGUCUUUUUGUUUGUAUUUAAUUUUGAUUGCUACAUUUUGCAAGGAGUUAUCAGAAAAUGUUUCUAACUUUUGAAAAUAAAUGCCAUUUCUAACAAAAAUUGCUACACUAUUGUGAUCAUUACCACAAUCAUUUCUUAUUAUUGUAUAACCUCUGAUAGAAAACUGUAUAUUUUGUUUAAGCCAAGUUUCUGAUAUAAGUGCUAUGUGUAUGUCCUGCUCAUAAAGUAGGUUUUGAAGCUCAAGUCUGUUACUCAACAGACUUUGAGCAUUCCACUGUACUAUGUUAAGUUUGUGACAGUUGAAUGUGACAUUUUAUUUUUAAUUUGUAUGGUAUCUUUAAUAGCUGAACUAAUUGCGUGUGAGCUAAUGCUUUGAUUCUGUGUUUUAUUUAGUGUAAUGACUUUGAUUAUUGAUUCUGUGAUUAGGUUCAUUGCUGCUGGAUUGGACAAAAUUAAAUUAAUGAUGUCUUGUGUGUUCUCUGUCUUAUUGAGUGAUGGAAAGUUUGUUGGAUGUUUAAAUAAAUCUGAUAAUGGUGUUUUA